rnacentral:lncRNA from 1 species
UGCAGAAAUAAAAGUAACCCGGGUGACGGUCGCUACAGCAAGUUAGCUAGAUCGUCCUCUCGUCGUGCCCAAAAGCCAACUCCUUGCCCGAAAUACCUGGGGAAAUGGAGGGUGAGAAACCGCAACCAUGGUUUUCUCAGUGGGUACGACAGAGCCACGAAGGCAAGCCGUAAUCACCGAAAACCAAAGGAGAUAGAUAAACGAGUAUAUAUGCUGAUAUGAAGAGUCUACAGUAGCUACAACAGAUAAAUAAGAAGCAAUAAAUAAACCUGCUACUGUAUAGAAAAUAAUGCAAAGAAUGCCUCAAUGUACUGAACCAGAAACUGUACCCAAUUUGUGCCUGCUAUAUUGGUCCGCAGACCUCAAGAGCUGCCUGUCACUAACUGCACCGACCUGAUCCAUCCGCCCCACAGGACGACCCAUCCGGAUAAGUACACCUCCGAUCGGUGGCCAAACCGAUCCGGUGUCAUGAAUACCCCCAAGUGCUAUGACUAAAUCAUGCUAGUAUGCUCAAACGAAAACCGG